GAUGAACGCUGGCGGCGUGCCUAAUACAUGCAAGUCGAGCGAACAGAUACGGCUUUUGUUCCUUGCACGUUAGGGGCGCAGGGGUGUGAAACACGUGUAUACCUUCCUUGUAUUACGGGUAAAAUUUCGGAAAACGGGCGCAAACCCGGUAUAACAUAUUGAUCCGCAUGGUUCAUUAGUAAAAUUCGGCUUUUCUGUCACUACUCGAUGCUUCCGCGCGGUAUUGGCUAGUUGUUAAGUUAACGGCUUACCACGGCAAGCAUACGUACCCGACUUGAGAGAGGGAUAGGCCACAUUGGAGCUGAAACGGGGUCAAGACUACUAAGAGAGGCAGCAGUAGGGAAUCGUCCGCAAUGGGCGAAAGCAUGACGGAGCAACGCCGCGUGAGUGAUGAAGGUCUUCGGAUCGUAAAACUCUGUUAUGAGGGAAGAACAAAUGUGUAAGUAACUGUGCACAUCGUGACGGUACCUGAUCAGAAAGCCACGGCUAACUACGUG
rnacentral:rRNA from 1 species